rnacentral:rRNA from 1 species
CCUACGGGAGGCAGCAGUGGGGAAUCUUGCGCAAUGGGCGAAAGCCUGACGCAGCAACGCCGCGUGGGGGAAGAAGGCCCUUGGGUUGUAAACCCCUUUUGCAGGGGAAGAUAAUGACGGUACCCUGCGAAUAAGCCACGGCUAACUACGUGCCAGCAGCCGCGGUAAUACGUAGGUGGCAAGCGUUGUCCGGAUUUACUGGGCGUAAAGAGCGCGUAGGCGGCUUGUUAAGUCUGGGGUGAAAUCUCCCGGCUCAACCGGGAGGGGUCCUUGGAUACUGGCAGGCUGGAGGGGAGCAGAGGAGAGCGGAAUUCCCGGUGUAGUGGUGAAAUGCGUAGAUAUCGGGAGGAACACCAGUGGCGAAGGCGGCUCUCUGGGCUCUACCUGACGCUGAGGUGCGAAAGCGUGGGGAGCGAACCGGAUUAGAUACCCGGGUAGUCCACGCUGUAAACGAUGGACACUAGGUGUGGGGGGUAUCGACCCCCUCCGUGCCGAAGCUAACGCUAUAAGUGUCCCGCCUGGGGAGUACGGCCGCAAGGCUGAAACUCAAAGGAAUUGACGG